rnacentral:lncRNA from 1 species
UGUAAUUAAGUUAGCAUAAUACUAUUAUCAAUAAUAUUCAAACCCUUAUUAUUUUCUCUCCUCCUUUGCUCUAAAAUCACACAACUUCAACAAUGCGCAAAAUACAUCUUAUGCUAUUGUUCAUAAUUGAUCAUGAAUCUUAUGAUUCAUUUUAAACUUCAAACACAAACAUAGUAUAAGCAUUAUGAUGUCAUAUAAUCCAUUUAGCCGACUCCAUGAAAUGGAAAAUGGCUUGGUUGUUACUAUUUUGAUCGGUGCUAUAGAAAAUAGGCUUUCCAAUCAGCAAUCCAUUUCACAAUUCGACACCCAAAGUAAGAAAACUAAAACUAUUUAAUUUGUAUGAACUCAACAGUUAGGGGUUUUUGGUGGCAGUAUAGAUGCUCUUCACAGGCGCUGUUAGCUAGGACAUCGUGAGGUUAAUCCUUAUACAUUGUUUGUAGUUUUGAAGCAAAAUAUGUUCUUCCAUUACUCAGUUCCUCAUUUAUAUUGUAAAGGAAGUUUUGGUUUCACUUUUUAUAUCCUGGAGUAAUUAGUGAAUUGAUAAAUUUACUUAUUGAGCUUCCUAUGUGCAUUUCAGAGAGUUUGCAAGUUUAGUUGAUCAAUCAUGGAGGAUGGAAAUGGGUGGCAAUCUUAGACAGGAGUUUCUACCAUUAUAAUUUAUAUUUAUUGCCGUUAUAAUCAAAAUGGAAUGCUACAAGGUCUGAAUCUUAAUCUUCAAGUACUUGAUGUAUUUUCUACUACACAUUGGAUAAUUAGACAAUACAUUUUUUAAAACAAAAAAGGAAAGCAAUUCUGCUUUAGCAAUUGUAAACAUAUAUGAAGCACUCUUUAGCUUUGGCUUUUGGGACAUUUGGUCUUUGGAAUGGUCUGAAGGCUUCUCUAACCAAGUGGUUAUGAGUUCAAUCCUUGCCUCUCUUCCAUAGUCAGGAGUUUAAUCUUGCCACUUGCAUUCUCAUAACUAAAUUACAAUUUCAAAAUAUGCUUGUGGCUCAUGCUUUGCCCACACUUCAAGCCAAAGUGAUUUUGGUAAUUUUAGAGAUAUACUCCCUCCAGUCGCAUAAGAAAAAAACUUUCCGACUUAUUAAGAAAAGUAGUUACUCUCAUUUAAUGUUUCUCAAUAUAAUAAAAUAAGUAAUUGUAUUUUUUAAAUUACCCCUCAUGGAAACUUGUUCCAUGAAAAUAGAAGGUUUAUUGAAAAUUAUAUCCAAAUUCAUUGAAUGACAAUUAGGGAAUAAUAGCAUUAAAGUAUGAUAGAAGUAGACAAACAAACAUAACUCUUUUGUUUAUAUUUGAGGCCUGAGUGGUAGUUAUAUAAGCUACAUAUAAGAAUCUAUAUUUUGUAAUAGGCAGCAGUCUCCAAGUAGGAGAGUGUAUGUAAUAUGGAAUAGGAGAGAAGUAAAAGAUCACAGCCUCUAAUUUAGUUGGAACUGGGUAACUAAGAGGACUGACUAUUAUUAGUUGAGAUAACUGCAGGGUGGGAAUUAAAAUGGAAGGAGAGGAACUGAGGGAGGGUAUUGGAUUGUAUUCUGAGUUUGUGGAAGAGGCCAGGAUCUUUCAAAUAACCAGGAACUUGUUCUUAGUACCUUUUAUAUCUUAACCAGUCUACACCUAUACAGUCUUCUUGGUCUAUCAGAGGGCCACAUGCUUGCGCCUUUAAACCCUAGUUAGGAGAGUGUUUUAAUGCCGACCUUAUCAAAAUCUGUGUUUGUUUUAUUAUUAAAAAAUAUCUCUCAUUUAUAGGGAUUUGGUUGUAUAAGAGUACUAAUUAUAUUCUCCUUAUAUAUCUUAGUAAUCUUGUAUAUAUAUCUAAUGUAUUGUCAACAUAAUUCAAUUCAAUAAAAUAUUUUACCCUAAUUCUUAAGAGAUCUCAUAAUGAAUCCUGAGAAUUCCUUCUAUUGGUCUACAAAAUACGUACUUAUGUUUUAAGCUAUUGUUCUCGUUCAUCUGUCUUUUACUCUUCUAGCACACAUUUAAAAAUCACAACAUUGAUACAUUAAGCUCUCAACUGUGACUGCAGAGUUCCUAUAUUACCUCCCAUGUUAUGCAAGAAUUAUUCUUAAGAACUCAUACGAAACACACAGGUUUAUUGAAUGCAUUAGAAGUUUCCAUUCAAAAGCACUAACAUAACACGAUCACACUAUGAAAUACACUUUUGAGAAGUCUCUUAUAGAGGCUCAAUUUAUUAACACUUUCAUACAUCAUAAGUUGCUACAGCUCCAGCACCAAAUCUACAAUGCCAACAAUUGUAAAUUAGUCAAAAUGCAUAAAUAUAUUCCAAUUAUGAUAAAGCAAUGCACAUAAAUGCUCCAUAAAUGUUUGCAUUGAAAUCUAAAAACCUGCUGCUGAGUUAGUUUGAAAUUUGUGUCAUUAAAACUCAACGAUUUUAAAUUCGGUGACAAAAAUACUUAAUACAAGUGACAAAAUACUACUCCGUGAAGUCUCGUACUGUGCUGAGGAGUUGCUGGAAAAUUCAGAAAUAGAGAACCAAGGCAGAUUUUAACCCUACCCUCCGUGGCUUAAGCCACCACCACAUCACUCUGAUCUUUAUAUAUAUCUUUUGCAUUACUAUAUGUCGGAAGACAGUGGUAAAUUGUUGUUAAUUUAUUCAGUAGUCAAAGAUUGUUUAAAUAAAAGAUAACAAUAAAGUCUCUUCCUUUGAAUAAGGAAUGAUUAGAAGAAUAUAAGGAAAUAAGAAAUUCAUACAAUACUAUAAGAUUUGAAUAAAAUAAAAUAAAAUUUAGGAGCUCACAAUAUCCCCUAAUUCUCCAACACCACCCUCAAGUUCGUGCAUAUAUAUCUAUCAUGCCCAACUUGUUAUGAAAUGCCCAAAGACAUGUCUUGCAAGGCUCUUGGUCAGUAUCAAAAUCUGUUUCUUUUUUCUUAUUAAAAAAUAUCACUGAAUUACUGGAAUUUGGUUGUAUAGGAGUACUAAUUAUGUUCUCCUUAUUUAUCUUAGUAAUCUUGUAUAUAUAUAUGAUGUAUUGUCAACAUAUUUUAAUUCAAUAAAAUAUUUUACCUUAAUUCUUAAGAUGGUAUCACGAGCUCUUGGUUUAAGGCUUGCUUUUGCAUAAAUCCUAGCCGUUUUUAUUGUGGUAAACUUUAGCCACCGUCAUUGUGGCCAUUUGCUGCCUUCAUUGCAGUGUUUGUGAUCCUUAAAGUCUGUUUGCUGCCUUCGUUGUCUUGAAACCAGCCAUCACCGCCGUGAACACAACUUUUGACUUCUCACCACUGUACACUGACGGUAUUGCACCACCCCUACACCAUUCCUCGAAGAAAGCAGCCAAACCCCAGAAAAUCACCGCCAUCCGAAGCCUGAUGUGCCGCCAGUGUUCUGACGACCCCGUAGUGCGUGUAACCCAUGCGCCGCCCUCUAAGCAGUUGUUCACUGCCGUUAUUUUGUAGAUUGUAAAUCGGAGGUUUCCUGUCUGCUUUUGGUGGUUACUUUUCAGAUCAAAGCACUUUGGUUCGUGGGUCAUUUGAUGCGCACACCUUUUUUCGAUUAGAAACUUGUUUCUGUUUUUCGUCCAUUGUGGGAGAAGGAGUAGUGAUUAAUACUGAAACCGAUAAUGAAACGUGAAAUAAAAAAUCCCAAGCCGAAUUGCAAAAUGUCUCAUUCGUUCACAAGUUGAAUGAGAAUAACUAUUUGAAAUGAUCUCAACUUGUGCACACUUUUUUAAAGGUAAAAGGACGACAUAAUACUUAUCAGAUGAACCCUCCAAAGAAAUAGAUCUCGAGUUUAAGAGGUGGAAUAUAGAGGAUUCUAUGAUCAUGGCAUGGUUAUGGGAUGCAAUGAUCCAGAAAUCAGUGACACUUGCAUGCUUCUCAGCAUUAAGAAGGAGGUUUGGAAGGCAUUAGAAGAGACUUAUUCUAAAGCCAAAGAUGCUGCCCAAAUAUAUGAUGUGAAGGUGAAAACUGUGGUUGGUAAACAGGGAAACAAGACAAUUACUAAGUAUGCAAAUCAUCUUAAAGCUUUGUGGAUGGAGUUGGAUCAUUACAGAGUUAUAAAAGUCAAGUGUUUAGCAAAUUCGACUUUACUAAAGGAAUAUAUUUAACAUGAUAGUCUAUGAUUUCUUGGUGUGACUCAUCUAUGAUUUUGAUCAAGUUAGAGUGCAAAUCCUUGGCAGGGAGAAAGUAUCAGGAAUUAAUGAGGCAGUGGCUAUAGUGAUGAGUGAAGAAAGUUAACGGGGACUAAUGCUGACAGUUCCACUUGUAGAAAGCUUAGCAAUGCUAGCUGAAAAGAAUUUGACUAUGAUGGUUGACCUAAAGAAAGGAGGAGGAGCCUAUGUGGAGAAAAAUAGGUGAUGGAGUGUGGUGUACCUAUUGCAACAAGUCUCACCAUACUCAUGAAAAAUGUUGGAAAUUGAAUGGGAAGCCACCUAAUAGUGAGUGGGGAAGAAACGGAGGUCAAGGACACAUAGCUACAAUUACUAGUGAAGAGAGUCGAGAAGGUAUGAUGCAACUGAACCAAGAUGAGGUAGAAAAGUUGAGAUCUUUACUCAUUAGUUUGGAGAAGCCCACAUGUACUUGUUCCUUGGCACAUUCAGGUAUGUUUCCAUUUUCUUUUGGACUUAAUGCUUCAGAUAUACCCUUUAACCAAUAUUGGAUUCUAGAGCCACAAACCACAUGAUACAUUUACCCUUACAUUUCUCCACUUUUUCACCUUGCCCUAGCAAUUAGAAAAUAUCCACAUUAGAUGGUACCCUUAUAACUGCAGAAGGUCAAAGAGAUGUUCAAAUAAAUCUAUCCACAACCCUAAGAAAAUGUUCUCCAUAUCCUUAAACUGUCCAUUAGUCUCAUUUCCAUACAAAAACUCACAAAAGACCUAACAUGUAAUGUUAUCUGCGAUAACCAAUCUUGUGUUUUUCACGACAAGAAUUUGGAGAGGAGGAUUGGAAAAGCUAGAGAAUGGAAUGACCUUCACUAUUUGGAUAACCGAAACUUAGCUUUGAAGUUACUGAACAACAAUAACUCCUUUUUAAUAGAAUCAAUAAAAACCAUCAGGGAGAAGGUUCUUUUGUAACACUGUCGCCGUGGUCACCCUUUAUUUUGAGUCAUUAAGCUAUUAUUUCCUUUGAUUUUUAAGAAAUUAGAGGUUUGUGAGCUUUCUAAACACAAGUGUGUACUUUUUUCAAUCAGUAAUAAAAUAAAUACUUUUCCGUUUUAUUUAAUUCAUACAGAUGUGGGGAAUUCUUCAAAUGUUCCAAAUAUAUCAGGUGCACGUUAGUUUGUAACCUUUAUUGAUGAUUGUAAUCGGGUUACUUGGGUGUAUUUAUUAAAACAAAAAUCUGAAGUCACUUAUAUGUUUCUACAGUUCUUCUCCAUGGUAAAAAAUCAGUUUGGAGUAAGUAUUAAGAGGAUUAGGUCUGAUAAUGACAAAUAUUACUUUAAUCGUGAUCUUAAGUCUUUCUAUCACAAAGAGGUCAUUAUUCAUGAGUCCUCUUGUAUUAAAACACCCCAACAAAAUAAGAUUAUUGAAAAGAUAAAUGGGCACUUGUUAGAUCAAACCCGAGCUAUGUUAUUUCAAAAUAAGGUUUCUAAGAAAUUUUGGGGAGAAACAAUAUAAACUGCUUCAUAUCUCAUAAAUCGUUUACCUUCUAGUGUCAUUGCCUUCAAAACUUCCAUGGAGGCCCUCUCCUCGUUCUAACCCAAUGUGUCCACGACUAUUAAUCUUACUACCAAAAUAUUUGGGUGGCAUUGUUUGGCCAUAUACAUAGUGAUAGUAGAGGGAAACUUGAUCGUAAAGCCUUAAAAUGUGUCUUUAUCGGAUACUCUUCCACCUAAAAGGGCUACAAAUGCUAUCAUCCACCAUCCCAAAAAUUGUCUCCAUAGAUGUCACCUUCCAUGAACGAAAAAGUUACUUCAGUCAAACUCAUCUUCAGAGAAAGAAUACAAGGAAGAUGAGUCUCUUCUAUUUCUGUGUUGACUCUUGAACCAAAAAUUGAGACUGAAAUUGAUUUUGAAAAAGAUGGAAAUGAACAAAAUGACAAUGUUGAGACUGAAAUUGAUUAUGAGAAAGAUGAAUGUUGUUUAGACGAAAUAGAAAUAUGGGUCUUGAAGCAUAUACCGAUGUUGACUAUGCAAAGUCAAUUAUAGAUAGAAGGUCAACACAUGAUAUUACAUUUUCCUAUGUGGGAAUCUUGUGACUUGAAAGAGUAAAAAACAAAGUGUGGUAUCCAGAUUCAAUGCUGAAGCAGAAUUUAGGGCAAUGGCACAAGGGAUAUACGAGUUACUAUGGUCGAAGAUCAUUUUGGAGGAUUUGAAGAUAAAGUGGGAUGAGCCAACAAAACUUUAUUGUGAUAAUAAAUCUGCUAUUAGCAUAGCCUGUAACCCAUUGUAGCACAACAAAACCAAACAUAUUGAAGUUGACAAACUUUUCAUCAAAGAAAAACUCGAUAGUUGCUAAACAGCAACAACUUUUAAAGAAUUGUAUCCAAACUGGGAAUGGAAAACAACUAUUCACCAGUUUGAGGGGUAGUGUCAAAAUCUGUUUAUGUUUUUUUAUUAAAAAAUAUCCCUCAAUUAUAGGGAUUUGAUUGUAUAAGAGUACUAAUUAUAGGAAUUUGGUUGUAUAUGAGUACUAAUUAUAUUCUCCUUAUUUAUCUUUGUAAUAUUGUAAUUUAUUUUCCAACAUUUUCAAAACACAAAUAAUAAGAAAGUAUUUUUUGUUGAAAAUAAAGUGUUAUUCCAUUAGUUUCUACAAUUUCCAAUAUGAUGUUUCUAUGAUUUUGUUCUUAACAUAAAUGAUUAAUUUUUUAAAGCAUUUCUAGUAUAUCUUUUAAAUUUUUAUUAUAGCAGCUAUACGCACUGCCAUUUGUCGCCAUCUACCACUAAUAACAUUGGUCCUGCACUCUUGCCCACUCUCCUUUUUCUUUUUCCUUCUCUUGCGUCAAGCGCCCAUAUCAUAAAAAAUUCAAAAUGACAUUCCUUUAUACUCUCAAUCACUUGUAUAUUCUGUGUUGUUUAAAGAAGACUAUGAAAACUUACAAUGAUGCUGAUGGAAUAUACUUAUCAAAGUUUUGUGUGCGUCAAGAGUCACAUUUUAUAGAUAUAUAAUAUAGUACUUACACUCUGCAUCUGUCUUGAUCCAGUGCUCAUUGUUCCCAGUUGAACCACUGCUACUUAGGCCAUCUUGCGGUGGUUUCCAGUUGGUCUUACAGUGUUUAAACCACUUUCUUGACUUGCUAUCUGAAUGAACUCUUCUGCUAGGAUUUGGGUUUGUGGUAUUUCCUUUAUCAUAUUCAUCGAAGCAGUCAUGAGGAAGAUUAAUCUUACCUUUGUGGGAUUUACUAAAACAUUUUGCAUUUAUGAUGUCUUCAGGAUAGACUUUUCUGUGAAACUUAUGUAAAACCUGCAUACAGAGAUGGAUAAAUCGAAUAACUUGUUAUGAUUGUUUUGUGUGUUCAAGAUGAAAUGUUGAAAUUGUGGUUUUAUUUUGAUAGCUUAACUUCUCUUGAAGAUGCCGACGUUUUCCAUACCUAGUGAUAUUUGCCAAAUUACCUUUUUAGCAUAGUUACAAUUUGUUAAAAGCCUUACUAGAACCACCUUCAUUUAAUGGUCUUUAAGCAUGCUUAACAACAUUUGAAUAGUGUUUUACUUGAUUCUCAACGAUAACAAGCUACCAGUAGAUUUAUGUCAUUGUCUUAUUGAUAAUUCUCACAUAUCCACAUUUUUUUCAUUAUAUUUCUUGUGGCUAACGAAGUGAACAUGCACUACAGUUUUGAUUGAUUAUUCUUUUGUUAAGAUGCAAAGGCAAAGGGUGAUGGGGCCGACCAACCUAUAUAUGCACACAUACACUUCCUCUGCUCCUUUAUAAAGUUUAUAUAAGGAGGAACCUUUAUGAUAAAUUUGCUUGUCCAUUUAUAUAAAACUCCCUCUAAAUUGUCUAUUGCAUCAAUUAUUCUUUUAUACCAAAAUACCCAUAAUUACUCCUGUUGAGAUGUGGCCAUGAUUUACUUUCCUAUUAUCUUGUCUAUAUCUUUCUGAUUGUAUUUCAAUCCCUAUAAUUAAAGGAUCUUGAUUGUAAUCCUUUUACUAUAAAUACAUACCCACGGGAAUUUGCUUCUCAUGACAUACAGACUAAUUCUUUUUUAAUCUCAAGUUGUAUUAGAGCUCACGAUAUGUGGGCCUGAUAGGAAAGGUUCAAAAGUGGGAAAACCCUAGUUGUCAAGCCACAAACCUAGCAGUUUUGCCGGUAGACCACUAUCGGUGGCCCUAGAUGUCACGACGGUGACCUUUACCAUCAGAACAACCGUAAUCAGUAAAGCCGUUCCUCUAAACACCGCCAUCAUCCUCACCAUUACAUGCCUUCAUGCGUUGAUCAAAAGCCAACAAGUCCGCCGGUGCGUGAAGUUCAUGCGCCAUCUUUUGCUACGCCGCCUGUCCCAUUCUAUUCCUAUUUAUUUUGCCUAUAUCUUAAAUAAUUGUGUUUCAAUCCUUAUAGUUAAGGUAAGGGAUCUUAGAUUGUUAUCCUUUUACUAUAAAUACAUAACCAUGGGGGUUAGCCUCUCAUGACAUUCAGAGUAUCUUUUCUAAUCUCAAGUACUCCAUCAUCUCUCUCUUGUGAGAAUUGAGGAAAGAGGUGACAUGAUGAGUUUCAAUUCAAAUUAAUUCGGUGAAAAGAGUGAGACAAUGAGUCCUGAGGGUACUUUUGAAAAAUAAUACAAAUUGAAUGUUACUAACUAAAUUAACCAACCUUCUUACUUGUGAAUUUUUUAAAGGGCGGUGAUUAGAGUAUUGUUAAAUAGGUAAAAAUAUCUAGUAAUAGGGACCAACCUUACUGAGCUUUGUAUUGGUUGAAGUCGAAUCAGCAUCAUUCCCAGAGGUGUUACAGCCUUUCGAGGAACUGUGGACCAUUUUGAACAUCUUUUUCAUAAUAUGCAUGGCAGACUUAUGUGCUUGCUUGACUUGUGUCUCUUCGACUCCUGUCUCUGCACAGUCUUCAUUUGUUGACUCUGUCCUAUGAAAUAGCUCAGCAAGUGAUGUCCUUUCUUUCCUCACUUCUAUUUUCUCUGGUGUUUUGAACGAUGACCCCAAUAAAUAUCCUUGCAGUGGACAUACAACCUUGUUUCCACAAUCUUUAGCUUCGGAUCCAUCUGUUUGAUUUCCGCUAAGUGUGAUGUUGCGAAGACGACUGUUUCUUCCUGAUGAUUCAUAGAAACUUUCAUCUUCAGUCUCAAGGAAUUUCUCAAGCUCAAAACUUAUGAGCUUCAGUUCAUUCUCUGUCACCUCUGCAUCUGUCAUAGUUAUGUUUUCUGAAGGCAUGGACAAUGUUGGUGUUGCCGGCUCAUUGGUAACUGCCUCUGCACCAAGGGUUCCAAUUGUCAAAAAGCUUUGAAAGAGCUCAGGGAUGACUGCAGAUGUUUCUUCUUGUGAAUCAUCAUCUUCUCUGCAGCAAGAUGUUUGACUUUCCUGAUGGUGUGGCUUUGAGAAGCAGGGUUGGUUAAUGGAACUGAAGCUUGGCUUUGUCUGAAGAUAUUGGCUGUCAAAUGUUAGCUGGACUGUAAGACAAGCACACGGAUUUCCUGAAAUUCAAGUUUCAAAAGAAAUUACUAAAUUGGUCUGAAGUUAGCAACUAAAGAUAGUUCUACAAUCUACAUGACUUGUUGAAAUAUUUAUUUGUUGCUUACGCUAUCCUAUAACCUUGGGAAGAGGAAUACAGAACAUGGAAAAGAAUUAAAAGAAGGAUUAUAUAUAAUAAUCAGAUAGUGAAAUGUGAACUAAGGGCUUGAGAGUGAUAUAUGUUCAAUGUUCCAUUUGUAGUAGGUUAUGGUUUUAAUCAACCUGAAGUAGAUAUGGCAAUGGGGCUGGGGUGGGGAUGGAUUUUGCCUCUCCCACCCUCAUCCCGGUCAGGUUUAAAUAUUGAAUCACCAUCCCCGCCUCUAAUAGGAGUCGGGUUUCUCCGCCCCCGUCCCCGUCUCAUAUAUAUAAAUAAUAAAAUAAAAAAUUAUAUUUAUUAUAAUUAAUAUAAUAAAAUAAUAGUUAUUAGAAAAUAAUGAAAUUAAAUUCAUUAAAAUUAAAUUAUCUAUUGAGAACUGAUUAAAAUUUAUAAUUAAAAAAUAUUAAAUAAAUAAAUGAGUAUAUAAAAAAACGAAAAAAAUAACAAAAUCAUUAGCGGGUUGGGGCGGAUUUCAACACUCCAUUCCUGUCCCCGCCCCUGACUUAGAAUUUCGAAGAAAAUUCACACCUGCAUCAAAUCAAAAUGAAGUUUAUCUGUAAAAAUUGGGUCGGAUUUGGGUGGAUACUUGGGGUGUGGGUUAAGUUGUCAUAUAACCUGAAGUGGGAUGCGGAUGGAUCAAGACCAAUUGUGGUCCUAAAUCCUGAUCUAUUUGAAAAGCCUAGUAUGCAGAACUGCAGAACACCUUAUUUUUACUUUAUCUAGAUAUGUGUAACAUUGUGUAUUGAUGCAGCUCAGAAAUAUGAAUGCAAUCUAUAUUUUGUUAUGUUGAUGGACAGUGACCAGUCAUCAAUGUGACAAUUUAAUUGUUUGUAGGUGUAUCUGAUGAUAGUUGUUAGCCUUCGCUUAAUGCCUUAGAAUGUGUUUGGAUUGAGGGUAUACGAUGAAAUGGAGUCGGAUGGAUUGAAAUGAGAUAGCAUGUAACUUUCUUAAAUCUAACAAGACUAUUCCAUUUCAUUCCUCCCUAUACAACUAAACCAAAAAUAUAGAGAACAUUUGCAUUGACAACCUAUCUUUUCCCAUUCACUCUCUUCCAUGAAAAAACGUGAGAGAAAAAUUGGAGGAAAUGAGAUAAGAGUAAUAAGGACAGCUGAAUACCAAGCGUGAAAUCCUUGAAGGGAUGAAGUUUUCGAUGCACCCAUUGAAGCAACUGCAAAAAUUAAAGGCAUGAGUUAAGCCGAAGGCCUGGAAGAAAUUGUUUUAUCAUUAAUUGGUAGAGUUUAGUCAUACCUUCAUUUUGACUCUUUUCUUGAUUUGAUGACCAAGUUUUCUCACUUAACAGAUUAGGCUGGUAUUUAUAAAUGUGAAUGGAAAAAGGUCACCCGAAGGAUUAGGAAGUUAUGAUUGAUAAAGUGAAAAGACACAGAUCUUUUCUUUGUGAUUGAAUGAGUUGGAAGUUGGUAAAUUCUAGAAUGUCUCUAUGGAGAAAAACAAUUAGAUAGAUACAACAAUGUAGUUGGCAAUUCUUUUCAAAAUCUAAUCAUGUAGGUAAAUUUAGUUUGUCAUUUGUACCAAGUUUCUAUUUGUCUAUAUUUUUGUCUCUAUGAACUUUAAUGGUGUUAGAUCACUCAUGUAUGUAAAUCCAUAACCUUUGAUCUUAGGCUGACCAAAGUGCAUUCAGAUGCCAAAGCACUGCCAAUUUUGAACGAUGAAGCUGUUGUAAAUUUCAAUUGCUAAAACACUUUCACUGCUGAGCAGG